UACGUAGGGACCGAGCGUUAUCCGGAUUCAUUGGGCGUAAAGAGCUCGUAGGCGGCUAUCCAAGUCGAACGUGAAAUCUCGGAGCUCAACUCCGAGCCUGCGUUCGAUACUGUAUGGCUAGAGUCUGGUAGGGGGAUCUGGAAUUCCUGGUGUAGCGGUGGAAUGCGCAGAUAUCAGGAGGAACACCGGUGGCGAAGGCGGGAUCCUGGGCCAGUACUGACGCUGAGGAGCGAAAGCGUGGGGAGCAAACAGG
rnacentral:rRNA from 1 species